rnacentral:rRNA from 1 species
CAGCCGCCGCGGUAAUACGUAGGGUGCAAGCGUUAAUCGGAAUUACUGGGCGUAAAGCGUGCGUAGGCGGCUUCUUAAGUCGGAUGUGAAAUCCCUGAGCUUAACUUAGGAAUUGCAUUCGAUACUGGGAAGCUAGAGUAUGGGAGAGGAUGGUAGAAUUCCAGGUGUAGCGGUGAAAUGCGUAGAGAUCUGGAGGAAUACCGAUGGCGAAGGCAGCCAUCUGGCCUAAUACUGACGCUGAGGUACGAAAGCAUGGGGAGCAAACAGGAUUAGAUACCCCCGUAGUCCCUGUCUCUUAUAC